UGGUCUGGCCGGGGGCGAUCAUGAGCACCGACGUGGAGUAGGGCUUGGUGUAGGAGGCGUCGGCGCCGACGACGGUCAUGGUGUGGCCGGCGAGGGAGACGAAGAGCUCCGUGUUGAGUGCGGCGUUGAUGAAGCGCAGCAGGUUCGUCUCGCCGGACUUCACCGGGAACGUGGCCGUGUCCUUGGACGAGCACCUGUAGAGGUCGCCGGGCUGGCCGUUGACGGUGGCCGUUGACGGUGAGGGCGUCGGAGAUGUUGGGCGCCGCGCCGGUGCGGGUGGCCGUGCGGACCACGUCGAUGGGGUUCAUGUCCCACCAUUCCCCUGCACGCAAGCACGUUCCCAUGAGCCAUGACAUUAUUGGUAAAUCCGUUCAAACACAGUUUUAAUCACCACUAAGAAAAAAAAACGUCUGUACAUGUUCGGUUUCUUAUGUCAAUUCUUUGUCAAAGAUGACCGCGUGCAUUACUUGUACGGAAUUUUGCUAAACUAAUUUUAGUAAGGAUUUAUGUAGCUUCAUUACCUUUUUCAAACAUUGUGGCAAUCCUGAUUUUGAUUGACAAUAGAUGAUGAAUAAAGUUUUAGAAUGUGCUUAGUUUUUCCUUCUUCUGAAGGAAGACUAGUCUCAUCAAAACCUAAGAUUGUAGAAGGGGUGGGUACAUGCAUGCAUGUUAGGCCUAUUGUGGAAUGUGGGCCAUAAUAACAGCCAGCCCAAAGAAAAGCAAGCAGCCUAAUGAUGCAAUUUUGAUUAUGCAGUUUGGAAAGUAGCACAUCCUCCGUUCUUAAAUAUACGAGGACAAGCAAAUUAGUUUAUUUUUGAACUAGCUUGUUCUUAACGUCAUAUAUUUAAGGACAGAGGUGGUAGAUGGUAAGCAAAAUAAAGACCGGUGUAGAUGAAUUUAGUAUACAAAGCCCUCUUUGGAAGAAAGGGAGAUUAUUUCAGUUUCAUUUAACUGAAGCUGCUCUGGUUCCAAAUGAGAGAACUCUGAAACAAGUUGUUUGCCUUUCGGAACGCUUCAGAGCCAAGUAUAACCUCUAUUUUUUUUUGCAUUGGUAGCUGAUGAACUUAUUGUUGAUUAACCAAGAAAUGUACUAACAUUAGCAUAGGCAAGAUGCCUUAUUCGUCCUUACAGUGUGCGUCGAUCUAGGGACCCACUAGGGGACGUAUAUAUUUUUGGUAUGAGAGUUGUUGGACCCACAAGUCAGUGGCAUGGUUCAUGAGUGUAGGGGUGUUUGGAUACAAGGUGCUAAACUUUAACGGUGUCACAUCGAAUGUUCGGAUGCUAAUUAGGAGAACUAAAUAUGAGCUAAUUAUAAAACUAAUUGCAAAACUCUGUGCUAAUUCGCAAGACGAAUCUAUUAAGCCUAAUUAAUCCAUCAUUAGUAAAUGGUUACUGUAGCACCAUAUUAUCGAAUCAUGGACUAGUUAGGCUUAAUAGAUUCGUCUCGCGAAUUACACUCCAUCUAUGCAUUUAAUUUUGUAAUUAUCCUAUAUUUAAUACUCCUAAUUAGUAUCAAACAUCCGAUGUGACAGGUGUUAAACUUGAAUAGGGGUGUCCAAACACCCCCUAAAGAAGGAUCUCACAUGAUGGACAUGAUGACGAUGCGUGUGUUGACUCUCAUGCACCUAGCUAGCAUACUAUGCGUCUUGUACAUUGGUGACUUCCAUUAUGCAGUAUCAGAUGCUUUAAAAUAAGAUCAAUUUAACUGAUGCUAUAUUUGAUAUAUUUGAUGAUUGGCUUGAUGGCGCGGAGCUCCAGGCGGUGGCGGGUCGGGUGUGGGAGGCGCGAGGGCUGGGCAGGCGGAGCGAGCGGUGGUGUGUCGGCGGUGUGCAGGAGGCGGCGCGGCGUGAGGAGAGGCGGCUGGCGAUGCUAGGCGAGGCCGCGAGGCAGCGGCGGUGCAGACCAGAGGGGCGGCGCAGGCGGUGCUGUAGGAGGCCUCGGGCGACGCGGAUAAGAUCAGGUAGGAUCAAGGGUUUAGGAUUGGCCCUUUUGACGCAGACGGCGGAAAAUGAGUUUACCACAGGACGAGGAAAAACGUACAACAAAAAAGUCGUCAUUUUGCUUUUUCUAGGAGUAGAGAUAAAAAUCCUGGCAGGUGGGGGAGUUUAGGCGCAAAAUCAUCCCAUCUCACUCCAUCCAUUAGAUUGGUAUCCUGUGAAUCUGAUUCAAAGUUUUAGGUUCCCUGAUUUACAAUACCUUUUUUUAUAGUAUCCGAGCGAGGACCACGGAGCAGAUCGUAAACGACGAAGAAAAAUCCUAAUUUCACUUUUUUAGUAGAGAGAUUAUGAAAUUUAGGAGGAAUAACUUUACUUAAAAUUAUAAAUGAUUACAUCGGUGUCGCCUCAUUAAAAACCUCACCCCAGCGAGGAAAAGAGUACCACCCGUUACUUAUAAAAUUGACUAGUUCCAACCCAUCACGGGGUAAGAGCCACCCCUGUCGAGCAUCCCGCAGUUACGAGUGCGAGGAAGGUAGAGGCAGGGGCUCUCGAUCGCCCCCGUCGCGGCGAACGCCCAGCAGGAGCCAGGAGCCGCAGAACCACUGGUUCUUGACUGGACUCAGGCACGGCUGGCCUUCGCAUGUCCUGUUACGCCAGUCGACAUCCCGCAGUUCAGUUCACUCCAGCAUCCCGCAGUUCACUCCAGGGGUCACGCCACGCCAGUCGACGGAGACCGGCAGCGGGAGGUUCCCGUCGCCGCCGCGCCUUUUGACGGGCCCAGCUGCUGCAGUGACGCGCCGCUCCGGAGUCAUUCGACACUUGCAGGCUUCAAGCUCCUUCCUUGUGGCGUCCGCGAAACCGUUGAGUCGCAGAGGCUCGUCUGCAACUCGAACAGUACGGGACGCGACGCGGUGCACCGUCUGGCCCGGACGCGGCGAAUCGGCGGCACUCGGCUCCGGCGGCUUUGGCGGCGGCGCAGCAGGGGAGCUGGGAAACUGGGGCUCGGGUGAGGGUGAAGGCGGCGGCGGCUGCAGCAGAGAGAGGCGGAGGUUUGGGCGGCACUUUAUAGGCUGAGCUCGGCGACGUGGGGGAGUGUUGGCGAGGGGCCGGCGGGAGGUGGUUGGCGAGGGGCCGGCGACGUGGGCUGGAGGAAGGGUCGUUGAGACAUGCUAGUUGUAUGUGCAUGGUAUAAUGUUUUGGUGCAGGAGGAGGCAGGUGGACGAUACCACCGGCGGCGAGUGGCGGAGAAUCUGUUGAAGAUUAGAGUAAAUUUCUAGUUUGAUAAUCUGGCCUGGAAAGUUUCCAAAGGCUGCAAUUUUACCUCUGUCUAGGAGAGUAAAUUUCUCCUACUCAUUGGUUAUGUUCAAAUCAUUAUGAUUUGUCUAUACAAGUAUAAUUAGCAGUAAGUGAAUUGAAUCAAUAUUAUUAGAAACAUAAAUGUACCAAAUGCAGCAAAGCUCAUGCUUAUAACCUUUGAUUUUAUAUCUGAAUUGAAUCGGCAAUGUUUCUUCAUGAAUUUAAUGUAGACAGCUAGGCUGUGAUGAUAAGAAAUGUGAAUUGGUACAUAUAAAAUCUGAAAUAAUCAGCAUCCGGUAAGCAGAUGAAUAAUGGCCAAAAACUUUUGAAUCUGCAAGUGUUAAUAAUCCUUUGAGCCUUUUUGAUCAGCAGAGUGGGAGGUCCGGUGGAGGCGCCUCCAGAGACUGCAGCUCCCCAACGCCGUCCUCCACGAGGAACGCCAUGGCGAGCCCCCAGGUGAUGUGCACGUCCAGAUGGCAGUGCAUCAGCCACACCCCCGGGUUGUCCGCCACGAACCGGAUCGCCGCCCACCCGUUCACCGGCACGCCCACCGUGUUCCUCAUCGGCGGGUCGUCCAGGUUGAACUUGGCGGUGUCGGUGGCGGCGUCGAAGUUGCCGAAUCCCUCGGCGAGGAUGUAGAAGUCGUAGCCGUGGAUGUGGAUGGGGUGGUUCUCGCCGGCGAAGAUGUUGGUGCCCUGCAGCACCAGCUGCACGGCGGCGCCGUACUUGAGCCUGUACACCUUCGUGCCCGGCGCCGGCUGCCACAGCGUGCGGCUCACGUUCUGCGCCGUGUAGUCGAACUGCACCGGCGGGUUCGCCGGGAAGUCGUCGGUGAACACGCCCUGCUGGGCCUGGGCGCCACCGUAGUGCGCCUGCAGGAUGGACACGGUGGACGGCAGCACGAAGGAGACGUUGUUCAUGCUCGCCGCGAACCGCGUGUUGUUGGGCCCGCCGCACUUCUGGCCACUCGAGCAGUUGAACAGCCCGACGCCCACGGUGAAAAAGAGGUUCUCGUCGAUGCGGGAUGGGAGCUCCGCCUUGCGAAGGCCUCGCAGGCUCGUCGUGAACGUCGUCGCCGUCGCCGUGUCGUUGUACGCCGGGAGCGUCGGCAUGGCGGGGCUGCUGCUGCUGCUGCCGCUGGAGGAGGAGUAGUCGAAGAUGGCGGUGGUGGUGGUGUUGUCGAAGGGGACGCCCUGGGCGCUGGCGUAGGCGCGGGCGGCGAGGUAGUACCGGCCGGGCGGCUGGUCGAAGGUGACGAGGACGUCUGUGGUCUGGCCGGGGGCGAUCAUGAGCACCGACGUGGAGUAGGGCUUGGUGUAGGAGGCGUCGGCGCCGACGACGGUCAUGGUGUGGCCGGCGAGGGAGACGAAGAGCUCCGUGUUGAGUGCGGCGUUGAUGAAGCGCAGCAGGUUCGUCUCGCCGGACUUCACCGGGAACGUGGUCGUGUCCUUGGACGAGCACCUGUAGAGGUCGCCGGGCUGGCCGUUGACGGUGAGGGCGUCGGAGAUGUUGGGCGCCGCGCCGGUGCGGGUGGCCGUGCGGACCACGUCGAU
rnacentral:lncRNA from 1 species